rnacentral:rRNA from 1 species
ACGCUCGACACCUACGGGGGGCAGCAGUGGGGAAUAUUGCACAAUGGAGGAAACUCUGAUGCAGCGACGCCGCGUGAGGGAAGAAGGUCUUCGGAUUGUAAACCUCUGUUGUCAGGGACGAUGAUGACGGUACCUGACGAGGAAGCCACGGCUAACUACGUGCCAGCAGCCCCGGUAAUCUGAGCGGGCUGGCAAGGC